GAUGAACGCUGGCGGCGUGCCUAAUACAUGCAAGUCGAGCGAACAGACGAGGAGCUUGCUCCUCUGACGUUAGCGGCGGACGGGUGAGUAACACGUGGAUAACCUACCUAUAAGACUGGGAUAACUUCGGGAAACCGGAGCUAAUACCGGAUAAUAUAUUGAACCGCAUGGUUCAAUAGUGAAAGACGGUUUUGCUGUCACUUUAGAUGGAUCCGCGCCGCAUUAGCUAGUUGGUAAGGUAACGGCUUACCAAGGCAACGAUGCGUAGCCGACCUGAGAGGGUGAUCGGCCACACUGGAACUGAGACACGGUCCAGACUCCUACGGGAGGCAGCAGUAGGGAAUCUUCCGCAAUGGGCGAAAGCCUGACGGAGCAACGCCGCGUGAGUGAUGAAGGUCUUCGGAUCGUAAAACUCUGUUAUUUGGGAAGAACAAAUGUGUAAGUAACUAUGCACGUCUUGACGGUACCUAAUCAGAAAGCCACGGCUAACUACGUG
rnacentral:rRNA from 1 species